CCUACGGGUGGCAGCAGUGAGGAAUAUUGGUCAAUGGACGAGAGUCUGAACCAGCCAAGUCGCGUGAAGGAUGACUGCCCUAUGGGUUGUAAACUUCUUUUAUAUGGGAAUAAAACGUUCCACGUGUGGGAUUUUGUAUGUACCAUAUGAAUAAGGAUCGGCUAACUCCGUGCCAGCAGCCGCGGUAAUACGGAGGAUCCGAGCGUUAUCCGGAUUUAUUGGGUUUAAAGGGAGCGUAGGUGGGUUGUUAAGUCAGUUGUGAAAGUUUGCGGCUCAACCGUAAAAUUGCAGUUGAAACUGGCAGUCUUGAGUACAGUAGAGGUGGGCGGAAUUCGUGGUGUAGCGGUGAAAUGCUUAGAUAUCACGAAGAACUCCGAUUGCGAAGGCAGUUCACUGGACUGCAACUGACACUGAGGCUCGAAAGUGUGGGUAUCAAACAGGAUUAGAUACCCUAGUAGUC
rnacentral:rRNA from 1 species